rnacentral:piRNA from 1 species
UAUAGUACCUUGCUGAUGUGA